rnacentral:sRNA from 1 species
GACCCCUCCCCAUGGGAGCAAAGGCCGAACGGACAGCCGGGGUCGAAUGCCGA